CCCAGUUUCCCUAACUCUGACCCAUGGCUCUCCCUUGCUUUCAGGAUCUGCCUAGGGUCUUGCCAGACCUCCUGGACGCCAUGCUGGGGAACCUGCUGGCAGAGUCCCCAGACACCGACAGGCUCCAGUACAUCUUGGAGCACAUUAACUACUGGAUCGUGUCCAGGGUGCCGCGAGAGAGAGCCAGGGCCGUUAAGAGCAGCACGGCCCUGCUCAGAUCCACCAUCACCCUCCCCGAGUUUGACAUAAGUGACCUCUGACCCCAGCUUCCUGACUCCAGGGAACUCAGCGGAAUUCCCCAGGAUGGG